GUGAAAUCAGUUGAGUAUUCUAGGCUUCAGAAAAUGAAAACAGAAGUUAAGAACUUUAAUAGGAUUGCUUGUUUCAUCCCUCCUCCCUUAAUAAUUCUCACCAGCUUAUUCUGCUAUGAAGAGUUCAAGAAGGGACAAUGGAAAUUACAUUUUAUUUGUGACGUACACACUGUACCAGCCGUCAUGUAGAAACAGACCGAGCUGCCUUCUACUUGGGAACACUUCUAAGUUGUGUAGUUUCUGGUCUCGGGCUCAACAGAAGAUUUAUUCGCUAGGAGGGGAAAAUGCCCAAACAAUGAAGAACUAACUGCACUUGUCACCCCGAGAUGCUUGCGGGCCUGCUCUGUCCCUCUUCCCCGGCAACCGGCUGCCUUUGCCCCAAACGGCGCACAACUUAACGCGCGGGGCGCAGAUCACCUCGGCCAGACGUUGCAGAGCGCGCGCAAGUGUGGAGUGGGGCGAUCAAAGUAAAGGCUGUCCAAGUUCAAGCCUUGGCGAGGAUGGAGUUCAUACACAGGGGCUCAGGCAGGCUAGCCUCUGCUUGGGCUGGUGUUGUUAUUGUUGAUGUCAAUCCGAACAAGAUUUACAAAGAAAUAGGUGGACUGGAAAGUGAGCCUACUAUCAAAGGAGAUUAAUGAUUUUGUGAUCUCAAGCAACUGUAGGGGUGUGAAGUUGCAUUUAAAAGCUUCUUAGAAGGCAAACAAAUCAGCUUUAAGUUCUCAGGAAUGAUAUUUUUAGAAACCGUAUUUUUAGAAGUAUCUUCACAAAAUACAAAAUAGCAGCUACCCUGAAAUGUCCUGAUGGCACAAAGCUUCCCCUGCAGGAGUGAAUUAACUUGCCUCCCCUUCACCCCCUCCAAAGCAACCAUGAUGGUUGAGUUUUGUUUCUCUUUUAAUGGAAAAAAAAAAAAAGAGAGAGAGAGAGAGAGAGAGUUCAGGAUUCUUUGUUGUGGACAACUUAAUUUUAUCAGCCACAUAUGAUAUUUUAUUCUCCUAGAAUACUUCUCAGAUAAGGGAAAAUUAUACAUUGAGGAAGGGGGCACAGUAGUUAUAUUAAUGAAUUUGAUUUCAUUGUGGACAG